UACGUAGGGGGGCGAGCGUUUGUCCGGAUUUAUUGGGCGUAAAGAGCUCGUAGGCGGCUUGGCAAGUCGGGUGUGAAACCUCCAGCUCAACCUGGAGACGCCACUCGAUACUGCCAUGGCUAGAGUCCGGUAGGGGACCACGGAAUUCCUGGUGUAGCGGUGAAAUGCGCAGAUAUCAGGAGGAACACCGGUGGCGAAGGCGGUGGUCUGGGCCGGCACUGACGCUGAGGAGCGAAAGCGUGGGUAGCAAACAGG
rnacentral:rRNA from 1 species